AUGAAUAAUUAAAACCAAAAAAGGCAAAAAAAAAAAAAAAAACAUGGACGCCCCUGGAAGCAUGUCACAUCCACGAACAUAAAAAAAUGUCCCCGCCGAGAAAUUAAACAGCUGUCGUGAUGAUAACAGAAAAAGAGCGAAGGGCGUGAGGCGAAGGGGAUGAAAGGGAGGGAGGGAGAUGAAGGGGAGGGAGAAUGGAAAGGAAAGGGGGCUGAUGAAGUUUGAAAGAAAUAUAUGUAUAGAGAGCAAGGAUGAAAGAAAGGGAGAAAUAGAAGGAAAUAAAGAAGAGAAAAAUAGAGAAACAGACGACUAAAGAGAAGUGGCAGCCACAAAUGUUAGGAAGCUUUAGUGGCCCGUCCUCGUGAGUCAGCACGCUCACUGGUGUUCUCCCUCAGCAGGUGUGUGAAUGCAAUGUACCUGAAAGACGUUAAUUGGUGAACCAAUUCUUACUAUGUAAAAUCAAUCAAUCAGUCAAUCAGAGAAAGAAAAAAUAAUUAAAAAGAAAAAUUAGAAGAAAGAAAGAAAAGGGAAACGGAUGCUGCGCCGCAAGCCGCCGCGAGGAUUCCUUAUGAUGCUUGUGCGCGUCCCCGAGCCCCAUCGGUCCUCAUCCAAGAACCGAUAAAUGCGGUGACCGGCGCCUUCACGGCAUUUAUGAUUAAUUUUAUAAUCCAGUCUGGUAGUUUUAAGAAGCGAGUUCUUGCAUCCGCCCUAUUCGAAUCGGCGGGGCGGUGGAGCGCCAGCGAGCCCAAGGUCUCCCUGGCGAGCAUGGCAGGACUGGAGGGCUCCCGGCAGGGCGCCUCGGCGUCCAUCGGGACCCCGACGGAGGUGCCGGAGAUCUUCCGGCUACAACGCCGGGCAGGUGGGGCUCGUUAGCCGUGGUAGGCAAUCUGCCUAGGAGAGCAAACUCCGAACAACAAACCCGGGCAGGUGAGGUUCGUUAGCCGUGGUAGGCAAUUCACCUAGGAGAGCAAACUCCGAACAAUAAACCCGGGCAGGUGAGGUUCGUUAGCCGUGGUAGGCAAUUCACCUAGGAGAGCAAACUCCGAACAAUAAACCCGGGCAGGUUGGGCUCGUGAGCCGUCAUAGGUAAUACACCUAGGAGAGCAAACUCCGAACAAUAAACCCGGGCAGGUGGAGGUCGUUAGCGAAAGCAGUUCAUCUAGGAGAGCAAACUCCGAUUACAAAACCGGGCAGGUGGAGGUCGUUAGCGUGAGCAGUUCACCUAGGAGAGCAAACUCCGAUUACAAACCCGGGCAGGUGGAGCUCGUCAGCCGUGGUAGGCAGUCUGCCUAGGAGAGCAAACUCCGAACAAUAAACCCGGGCAGGUGGAGCUCGUCAGCCGUGGUAGGCAGUCUGCCUAGGAGAGCAAACUCCGAACAAUAAACCCGGGCAGGUGGAGCUCGUCAGCCGUGGUAGGCAGUCUGCCUAGGAGAGCAAACUCCGAACAAUAAACCGGGGCUUGUGGUGCUCGUUAGAUGUCGUAGACAAUCCACGUGAUGGGAACACCAAAGAAAAAGAAAAUAAAAAGGAACACCAGAAAAAGGAAAAUAUAGAAACAAAACAUCAAGAAAAGAAAAUAACAAACACAGAUCAUCCACCUUCAGGCCCUAACAUCGCCAAAAUUAAGGGUGAGUCUUUUCUGGGGAGAAAGAGGCUCAUUCAGACCAAAGAACAUCAACAAGGGAUGAUAUAGAAAGUAACACCAAAAAAUUGGGAAAAAGAGAAAAAAAACAUCGCAAAAGACAAGUAACAACAAUAACAGAACAGCAUCAAGAAAAGUAACAUCAAAGAAACAUCAUCCACCAUUCGGCCCCAAACUAACAUCACCAAAAUUAUGGGUGGGUCUCUUCUGGGAGGAAAGCGGCUCACCCAGACCAAUGAACAUCAACAAGAGGAUGAUAUGAAACAAAAGAACAUUAAAAAACAUGAAGAAAGAAAAGAAAUAAGAAGAAAAAGAAAAGAAAAAACAUCGAAAAAGAAAAACAAGACAUCAGGAAAAGAAAAUAUAUAAGAAACAUCAUCCACCUUUCGGCCCCAAACUAACAUCACCAAAAUUAUGGGUGGGUCUCUUCUGGGAGGAAAGCGGCUCACCCAGACCAACGAACAUCAACAAGAGGAUGAUAAGAAAUAAAAGAACAUCAAAAAAGAAAAACAACACCAAGAAAACACAAAGGAAAAGAAAAAGAAAAGAAAAAGAAAAAGAAAAACACCAAAAUAAAACAAAACAAAAACAAAAAAUAAUCCAAAUAAAUAAAUAAAUAAACAAAUA